GUUGAAGCAACAUAAUACACUCAUCACUUGAAGCAUUUUAUAAUCCCACUCUACUCAUCUCUCAAAACAAUUUCAAAUUUCGGCCAAUAUUCUUUUGUUUCGGUUCAUGUUUUAACCAUCAUUAAUCAUUGCACUUUGUCCAAAUCCAAACCCUAAUUUCGGUUGUUUAGAGAACAAGGUUUGGGACUGCUCAAAAUCAGUAGAUAUAUUUAUUAAGAAAUAUGUGAAGAAGCAUGGCUGCAAGAAGUUCAGGAGGACUCAAAGUGAAAGGAAAUUUUUUGUACACGGUUUGCUUAUCGUUGGAUCAGUUCUGGCUCGGAAGGACGACCUUCUUCAACAGGGGCAAUAUGUUGUUCUGCGUGCGUUUCUUGCUGAGCACGCUUGUCAUUUUCAGCAGGUGUGUCCUUUGCUGGUUGAUUACCACUCCUUUUCCUUGUCAUUUUCAGCAAGUGUGUCCUUUGCUGAGCACGUUUGUCUAGUGCAUUUGGCUUGGUAGGAGCAUGAAUUUUGUUUAUAAUUAGUUAUUGAACUUGAUUAGAUAUCGGGGUAAUCUUAGUCCUUAAUCCUAACUAUUUGUAAUGAUACAGAAAAUGAACACGUGUAAAUAAGGCCCACAUAAGUUUUGAUUUGCAGGUAGAAAUGAUCUUUGAUUGUAAUACUCUCGGCUGGUAAUUUAGAAGCUAAAUAACUAAUAUUCAGAAUACUUGCAUCCCGGAGAAAUGAGUCUUAUUGAUGACGGUGGUAACGGUGUUGUUCAAUCCAUGUAACCAACUUCGUUGAGUGGGAAAUGACUUUCAUUGUUUUAUUUCAAUAGAAUUUGGUUUUGAUGGAUCAUUUUAAUUAUAAUUGAAAUCGGUUAAGCAAGAAUAUCGUUUCAUGUAUUUCAUUUAAUUUAAUCUUUUCAUGUAUUUCAUUUUAAAAAAGAAACUACCGUCGCACGUGGGAAGUAAGUUUUGUACGUGUUCCGUGAAAAUUCAUUGACAAUCUUCCGUGACAUAUAACAUCUUUAUAGGAUUGGGAUGCAAGUAUUCUGAAUAUUAAUUAUUUAGCUUCUAAAUUACCAGCCGAGAGUAUUACAAUCAAAGAUCAUUUCUACCUCCAAAUCAAAACUUAUGUGAGCCUUAUUUACACGUGUUCAUUUUCUGUAUCAUUACAGAUAGUUAGGAUUAAGGACUAAGAGUACCCCGAUAUCUAAUCAAGUUCAACAACUAAUUAUAAACAAAAUCAUGCUCCUACCAAGCCAAAUGCACUAGACAAUUACUCCAUAAAGUAAGUGUUUAUCAAUACUCCUUGGUUCAUCUCUGGGUUUGUUAUUAUGAUGGAACAAAUUUGCUAAAAAGAUUGCUAAAAAGACAGAAUAUCGUUUACUUUUAGUCCAAAAAAAGUUUAUAUGUUUGUUAUUAGAAUCUGAAGAUAAAAAAUAUAAAAACGGCUACAUAUGAAAAGUUGUUUUGAGAGUCCCUUUCUUGUAAUUUAUUUUGCAGCAUUAAGAAAAUUUUGGUAAAAGAUUAUGAGAAUAUUGCAUUUGGAGUUAUGAUUUAUUGAUUGUGAUGUUUCCAUUCAAUUUAAAUCAUGUUAGAAACAUCCCUUUGUGCCUAUUCAGUUGUACUAUCUUGGUGUUCAUUCAUGUAAUAAUCAAGAUAUGAUCCAUCAAGACCAUUUUGAUAUAUACUCUGCAUUCAUGCAUGGAUAAUAAUUCAUAUCAUUAGAACAUGACAUUUAACAAAAACUCGCGUUUCAACUUUCAAUAAACACAAGAGAAGCUUUUCAACAAAAAUAACCUAGAUUAUAUCAUUAGCAGUAAAAAAAUUGUGACCAAUGCACAGUCAAAUAGAAUUAAAAGCACUGUCACCUUUUAAACUAAAAUCAAUAACUUUUAAACUCUUCCUUUCCUCCAUUCUUCCUUUCAUCUAACCAGCGCACAAAUGUCUUGACGUGCUUUCUAAAUGUCAGAAACCAAACUUUCAACAUAAACCUUGGUAGAGAACCAUUGUAUUUCAUCGAUAAUUCUAGCCAACUUUACUGUAUUAUUCCUCAAAUUAUAUAGAAUUGCUCGUUGUUCUUGAUUAUUAGCCAAUAUUAGUGUAUUGUUGUGAUCCGAAAGGUGCAAUGGCAACA